CCUACGGGUGGCAGCAGUGGGGAAUAUUGGACAAUGGGCGAAAGCCUGAUCCAGCCAUGCCGCGUGUGUGAAGAAGGCCUUCGGGUUGUAAAGCACUUUCAGUGGGGAAGAAAGCCUUGGGGCUAAUACCCUCGAGGAAGGACAUCACCCACAGAAGAAGCACCGGCUAACUCCGUGCCAGCAGCCGCGGUAAUACGGAGGGUGCGAGCGUUAAUCGGAAUUACUGGGCGUAAAGCGCGCGUAGGCGGUCUGAUAAGCCGGUUGUGAAAGCCCCGGGCUCAACCUGGGAACGGCAUCCGGAACUGUCAGGCUAGAGUGCAGGAGAGGAAGGUAGAAUUCCCGGUGUAGCGGUGAAAUGCGUAGAGAUCGGGAGGAAUACCAGUGGCGAAGGUGGCCUUCUGGACUGACACUGACGCUGAGGUGCGAAAGCGUGGGUAGCAAACAGGAUUAGAUACCCUGGUAGUC
rnacentral:rRNA from 1 species